UAUUUGUACAUAGUAAAUUCAUAAAGUACAAAUUGCAUAAACAAAAAUUUCACAAACCAUAUAUUCAUGAAACAGUAGUGAAAUAUAGCAUAAAUAUUUGUGCGCUACGGCUAUGCCUUUCUUACCUUUAAGGUAUACCAAUAAAUGUUGUGAUAUGAAAUAUACCUCUUGAGUUUCUAUCCCGUUGCAUUACUUUAUGAUGAUACCAUCUCUUCUAUUUUUC
rnacentral:lncRNA from 1 species